GAUUGCUCAGUUUUUCAACAGUUUGUGUGAUGGGAUAGCUGCUUUUCUGCUGCAUACAUAAUCUAGGUAAUCAAGUAUAAAAACAGAAAUUAUGAAAAUGGAAAUUGGAUCAGAUAAUGUUGAUGACUCAAUCCAGGAAGCAGAACCUACCCAACCUCUGGAUGAUGGAGCAAUCAGCCAACCACCAGUCAAAAAGAAAACUUCCUGUUGCACUGGUUUAAAGGUGUUUUUGGCUGCUUUGUCAUUCACCUACUUAAGUAAAACCUUAUCUGGAACCAUUAUGAAAAGUUCCAUCACACAGAUAGAAAGAAGAUUUGACAUUCCCUCCUCUAUAGCUGGCUUAAUUGAUGGAAGUUUUGAGAUGGGUAAUUUGUUGGUGAUUGCAUUUGUAAGUUACUAUGGAGCCAAAAUUCACAGACCAAAAGCAAUUGCUCUUGGAUGUUUCAUUAUGUCUGCUGGAAGUAUUUUAACAGCAAUGCCUCAUUUCUUCAUGGGAUAUUACAAGUAUGAGACAACACUGACUGCAAUGUCAUCAGUCAACUCAACUUCAAGCAUCAAUCCCUGCUUAGUGGAUCAGAAAGAUAUUGGAGUCAGUGAAACCUUAAUAGAACCUGAUCCAGGUUGUAAAAAAGAAGCAUCAUCAUACAUGUGGAUUUACGUCUUCCUGGGAAACAUGUUACGUGGAAUUGGGGAAACACCAAUAGCACCACUGGGAAUUUCUUACCUUGAUGAUUUUGCUAAAGAAGAGGAUGCUCCUUUAUACAUUGCAAUUUUGCACACAAUAGCAAUGAUUGGUCCAAUGCUUGGUUUCCUGUUGGGAUCACUGUGUGCCAGACUGUAUGUGGAUAUUGGAUUUGUGGAUCUAGGCAGCAUCACCAUAACACCAAGAGAUUCCCGUUGGGUGGGUGCAUGGUGGCUUGGUUUUAUCAUAGCUGGAGUAAUUGCCCUCAUAUCUGCCAUACCGUUCUGUUUCCUGCCAAAGAGUCUGAAAAAGCCAGAGGAGGAAAGUAAUGACAAAGCUUCAUCUGAUCUCUCCAACAUUAAGGAAGACAACAGUGGGAAGCACAGCCCUAUAAAACAAAAGCCAAUGAAGUCCUUAGCAACUUUGAAAGAUUUCUUUAUUUCUGUGAAAGCAGUAUUGGGUAACCGAAUAUACUUCGUAUUUUUGUGCUCUGUACUGUUACAGUUCAAUAGCUUUGUUGGUUUCUUGACUUACAAACCAAAAUACAUGGAACAGCAGUAUGGUCAGUCAGCAUCAAAGUCUAACAUCGUAACAGGAUUAACUUCCUUACCUGCUGUGGCCAUUGGGAUUUUCUUAGGAGGACUUUUAAUGAAAAAGUACAAAUGGGGCUUGGUUGGCGCUACAAAAUUUGGAUUUGGUAUUUCAUUUUUUGCUUUCCUUAUAGGCCUGCUACAAUUUUUUGUGGGCUGUGAAAACCAUGUAGUGGCUGGACUGACAGUGUCCUAUGAUGGGACACCAGUUGCAUAUGGUGAAAACACUGUAUUUUCUUCCUGCAACUCGGAUUGCAAAUGUGCCUCAAACCAGUGGGAUCCAGUCUGUGGAGACAAUGGAAUCACAUAUAUAACAGCUUGUCUUGCUGGCUGCAAGGCUUCAACAGGCCAUGGAAAGAACACAGUGUUUCAUAAUUGUAGCUGCACUGAAGUUGCAGGUUUGCUAUCAGGAAAUACUUCGGUAACUUUGGGACACUGUCCAAAGAGUGAUGAUUGUUACAGGAAGUUUAUUUAUUACACAGUCAUACAAGUCAUAAGUGCUUUUUUCUAUGCUUUAGGAGGCACCCCAACGUAUAUGAUUACAUUUAGGUGUGUUCAGCCAGAGCUAAAAUCUCUUGCAGUUGGUCUGUAUGUACUCAUCAUGAGGGCCCUAGGUAAGAGAAAUUACUCUAACUAUAUGGCUUUAAAUGGUGACUCUCGGAAAACUGUAAAAGUCUAAAACAGUAAAUUAAUAAAAUGUGGUAAAUAACUGUUAUCAUGAUGUUCUAACUUUUAUAUCAAAAGCUACAUCAAAUUAGGAAAGUCUGUUUUCAUAGUUUGCUAAGGGUCAGAUCAGUUAGGUUUGGAUGUUCAUAAGGAGGUCAUCAAGCCUGUGCUCUUACAGGACAAUAGUCUCUAGUUAGAAUAUAAACUUGUUUGUAAGAGAUGUUUAUCUGCAAAAGAGUGCAAGAUAACAGAGCUUCCACAAUUGUGGUUUGACACAAGUUUGAAAUCUUGAUCCUGUUGAAGAUCAUGUCAAAACUUGCAUUGGAUUCAACAAGCCCAAGAUUCCACUCUAGGUGUGUCAUCUUUUUUGAAGGUACAGAACAGUGUAGGGCACAGCCAGCCAAAACAUGGGAUUCAAAUGCCAAGUGCACCCUUUGAAAAGCUGGAAUUCCAGCCCCAGUUUAUUUUGGUGCAUUGAUAGAUAGGACUUGCUUGAAAUGGGGAAGAGGAAGCUGUGGGCAACGAGGAG